ACGCCGCCGUCGGGCGGUCGUAGGACAUGGCCGCCAGGAGGUAGCUCUCGGUGAUGCCCAGAGCCACGAAGAAGUACAUCUCGGCAAAGCACGCCUGGAAGGAUAUGGCCUGGCCCGGGUGGAGCAGGCCGGCCAGCAGCCUGGGGACCGUGACGGUGGUAAAGCAGACGUCCACGAGGCUCAGACAUGCCACAAAAUGUUGAAUGAAGAUAGGCAGCGUUGGCAAGGAGAGUUUCUGAAACUUCCACUGGAGGGCUCUGCGUGUUCCGGCAGGAAUGGUUUGAGAGCCAGUUUCUGAGUGCCCCAGAGGAGAAUGCUGUAGUGAACACAGCCCUGUACAGAGAAGACAGCAGCUUGAUUCCUCUCAUUUCUCAGUCAUUAGCCCCUCACUCGCUCUCCGGGAGGAUAACGGGGUGUGCGCAGCUCCUCCCCUUCUUUCCUGAAGAAACCUCAGUGGCUUCCGUGCCCUUGCCAGGGAUGUAUCAUUAGAGCCAUUGGUCAACCUACCGUGCCUAAGUCAAGGACAAGGGAAGGACAGUGACUGUGCAAUGCAGAAUGUAACUGCACCUGGCGGCAACCAACCCACAGGCUAUGACCACAACUUUGGUUUUAGAGAGGAAUAGCAGAUAAUACACACAGAAAAACAUCAUUUUACAGUAUUCUGACCUUUUCAGCUAGCAGAGGAUGAGGAGGACAAGGUGGUGGUGUCAUUGGGCAUGUCAACCAAGAGCAAGAAACUCAUGGAGCCAGAAGCUGGGACCAAUAGGACCGCUGUUGCUGAGUUCAUUCUACUGGGCCUAGUGCAAACAGAAGAGAUGCAGCCAGUUGUCUUUGUGCUCCUCCUCUUUGCCUAUCUGGUCACAACUGGGGGCAACCUCAGCAUCCUGGCAGCCGUCUUGGUGGAGCCCAAACUCCACGCCCCCAUGUACUUCUUCCUGGGGAACCUGUCAGUGCUGGAUGUCGGAUGUAUCACUGUCACUGUUCCUGCAAUGUUGGGUCGUCUCUUGUCCCACAAGUCCACAAUUUCCUAUGACGCCUGCCUCUCCCAGCUCUUCUUCUUCCACCUUCUGGCUGGGAUGGACUGCUUCCUGCUGACCGCCAUGGCCUAUGACCGACUCCUGGCCAUCUGCCAGCCCCUCACCUACAGCACCCGCAUGAGUCAGACAGUCCAGAGGAUGUUGGUGGCUGCGUCCUUGGCUUGUGCCUUCACCAACGCACUGACCCACACUGUGGCCAUGUCCACGCUCAACUUCUGUGGCCCCAAUGAGGUCAAUCACUUCUACUGUGACCUCCCACAGCUCUUCCAGCUCUCCUGCUCCAGCACCCAACUCAAUGAGCUGCUGCUCUUUGCUGUGGGUUUCAUCAUGGCAGGCACACCUUUGGUUCUCAUCAUCACUGCCUACAGCCACGUGGCAGCUGCAGUUCUACGAAUCCGUUCAGUGGAGGGCCGAAAGAAGGCCUUCUCCACGUGUGGCUCCCACCUCACCGUGGUUUGUCUUUUCUUUGGAAGAGGUAUCUUCAACUACAUGAGACUGGGUUCAGAGGAGGCUUCAGACAAGGAUAAAGGGGUUGGAGUUUUCAACACUGUUAUCAACCCUAUGCUGAACCCUCUUAUCUACAGCCUCAGAAACCCUGAUGUUCAGGGUGCUCUGUGGCAAAUAUUUUUGGGGAGGAGAUCACUGACCUGAGAGGUAAUGGGGUCCCUCCUUUCCUGCCUUUUCUGGACUGAGGAAAAUUUCCCAUGAAGACAGUAACCAGGAAAAAUUCAGCCACAACUAUUUUUCCUAUCUCCUGAUGCUUGAAGAUCGGUGUUACAUAUUUGUCCUACUAGGAAACCCUACAUAAUUUAUUCAUUCAACAAAUACUUAUUAGAGUACCUCUAUGAUCUGGACAGUCUUCCAAGGCAUUGGUGGACAAAAUGGACAAAAGUCUCUGCACUCAUGCAACUCACAUGCUAUAAAAGUAGACAAAGUAAAUAAGCAUCAUAUAUACCACAUGAUGAUAGUUUCUAUAGAGAUGAACAAAGAUGUUAAUAUGAAGUCAGGUUCUGCCAAGCAAGCCCUGUGCAAGUUUUACCCUGUUUUUGGCUGUGCCUACUUUCUGGAUAGAGUUAAAGCCUUGUAGUUCUGUGUGCCUGGCAAGCAGCAUUCUACAAAGAAUGUCCAGUCGGUCAAUCACAGCCUAAGUGACCAAAAGUAUUUCUGCAAUAUUUCUGGUGAGGACAUGAGAUUCCCUGCAGAUCAGAAUAGGGGAAAAUUUUUUGUUUGUUUCUUUGUUUUGUUUUGUUGUUGUUUUGUUAAAAACUUGUUAAAAAGUUUUUUAAAAAAACCAAAACCAUAGGCCUAGUGCAAUGGAUUAUUUCAUUCAUUUGUUUGCCUUUCACCUUCAUUUUCUUCUCUCCGCUACCACAAAAGAAUCCUGCUGGAUGUUGACUGGGCGCAGGGUGGCUGACGCCUGUAAUCCCAGCACUUUGGGAGGCCGAGGCGGAUGGAUCACGAGGUCAGGAGAUCGAGACCAUCCUGACUAACAUAGUGAAACCCCUUCUCUACUAUAAAUACAAAAACAAAAUUAGCCGGUGUAGUGGUGGGCGCCUGUAGUCCCAGCUACUCGGGAGGCUGAGGCAGGAGAAUGGCGUGAACCUGGGGGGCGGAGCUUGCAGUGAGCCGAGAUAGCGCCACUGCACUCCAGCCUGGGCGACAGAGCAAGACUCCGUCUCAAAAAAAAAAAAAAAAAGAAUCCUGCUGGAUGUUUAGGGAACAGGAAAGGUCUAGAGAGGAAAAGAGCCCACUAAAUUAAAACUACGUUCAUACAUAUAUGAUAUAUCUUAAGGUCAUAAAAGGAAGGUUUCAUCUCCAUUCCCUGCCAUGCCUUUUUCUCUCAUUUAAUGUUACCUUCCUCACACAUAUGAUAAAGUUUUUGAAAGAGUAAAUGUUUGUAUUACAAUCAGGUCCUUAGAAUUUUCAAUGUAGAAUAUCCAAUAUAACCUUCUCCUCCAAAGUCUUACUUAGCUCUCUCAAAGCUCCUUGCUUAGAAAAUACAUACCCAUAAAUGUAGUUCCUGGAAAGGAGGGAUGCAUGCAUGCCUGUCUUCCUUCCUUCCCAGUGUAAAUAUAUUUAUUUUAAAAAUUAUUCAGAAUGUUAUACCUAAUAGUGGAAACAUUCAGACGAUAUUAUUUUGUCAAGUAGGAAAUAAAAAUCCAAAUGUUCCUUCACUGCACCAAAAAUCACACUGUUCAGAGUUUACGCCUCUGACAAUUGUUGUGUUUUUUCCUCUAGCGAUUUCCUGUAUAUAUGAUAUGCCCGUUUCACAUCAGUAGAACCAUACUGUUCUGUGAUCUGCUUCCUGUUUUUCCUGCAUAUUGUGCCAUACAAUCUUUUACAUAAUGAAGACUAACAUCCUGCUUUAUCUGUUUUAAUGGUGGCACAGUAUAUCAUUAAACAUGUAAGUCACAAUUUCUUUCAUUAAACCUCUAUUUCUAUAAUUUGGGUUAUUUUCAAUUGUUUUGCAACAACAAUGUUGUGAUGAAUAUUCUUUUUUUUUUCUUUUUUUUUCUUUUUUUUUUUAAAUUAUAUUUUAAGUUUUAGGGUACAUGUGCACAUUGUGCAGGUUAGUUACAUAUGUAUACAUGUGCCAUGCUGGUGCGCUGCACCCACUAACUCGUCAUCUAGUAUUAGGUAUAUCUCCCAAUGCUAUCCCUCCCCCCUGCCCCCACCCCACCACAGUCCCCA
rnacentral:lncRNA from 1 species